rnacentral:rRNA from 1 species
GAUGAACGCUGGCGGCGUGCCUAAUACAUGCAAGUCGAGCGAAUGGAUUAAGAGCUUGCUCUUAUGAAGUUAGCGGCGGACGGGUGAGUAACACGUGGGUAACCUGCCCAUAAGACUGGGAUAACUCCGGGAAACCGGGGCUAAUACCGGAUAACAUUUUGAACCGCAUGGUUCGAAAUUGAAAGGCGGCUUCGGCGGUCACUUAUGGAUGGACCCGCGUCGCAUUAGCUAGUUGGUGAGGUAACGGCUCACCAAGGCAACGAUGCGUAGCCGACCUGAGAGGGUGAUCGGCCACACGGGGACUGAGACACGGCCCAGACUCCUACGGGAGGCAGCAGUAGGGAAUCUUCCGCAAUGGACGAAAGUCUGACGGAGCAACGCCGCGUGAGUGAUGAAGGCUUUCGGGUCGUAAAACUCUGUUGUUAGGGAAGAACAAGUGCUAGUUGAAUAAGCUGGCACCUUGACGGUACCUAACCAGAAAGCCACGGCUAACUACGUGCCAGCAGCCGCGGUAA